UGACACUGAACAUUGAGCCUUGAUGUGUAGGAUAGGUGGGAGGCUUUGAAGUGUGGACGCCAGUCUGCAUGGAGCCGGCCUUGAAAUACCACCCUUUAAUGUUUGAUGUUCUAACGUUGGCCCCUAAUCGGGGUUGCGGACAGUGUCUGGUGGGUAGUUUGACUGGGGCGGUCUCCUCCUAAAGAGUAACGGAGGAGCACGAAGGUU
rnacentral:rRNA from 1 species